CUUGAUGGUGGCUGUGCGCAUGGCGCCCUCGGGCGCGCCGGGCUUUUAUGUGUUUUCCACCGGUCUACUAACUUGCGCACAGCUGCCACCCCU
rnacentral:antisense_RNA from 3 species